rnacentral:piRNA from 1 species
UACACAUGUACCCUACUGGAAUUCAGCA